GAUCCCUGCCCAUGAUCCUAGGGGAUGGGGAAGCCAACCACAGACACCACAGAAAAGAUAAAUCUCUCUGAUGGUGUCUUAGUUGCUUUCCUGUUCCUGGGACGUGAUACCCUGACACCC
rnacentral:precursor_RNA from 13 species